rnacentral:rRNA from 1 species
AACGAACGCUGGCGGCAGGCUUAACACAUGCAAGUCGAACGCUCGUAGCAAUACGGGAGUGGCGGACGGGUGAGUAACGCGUGGGAACGUGCCCUGAGGUACGGAAUAACUGAGGGAAACUUCAGCUAAUACCGUAUGAGCCCCGAGAGGGGGAAAGAUUUAUCGCCUUGGGAGCGGCCCGCGUCGGAUUAGCUAGUUGGUGGGGUAACGGCCUACCAAGGCUUCGAUCCGUAGCUGGUCUGAGAGGACGAUCAGCCACACUGGGACUGAGACACGGCCCAGACUCCCACGGGAGGCAGCAGUGGGGAAUCUUGCGCAAUGGGGGCAACCCUGACGCAGCCAUGCCGCGUGAACGAUGUAGGCCUUAGGGUUGUAAAGUUCUUUUACCCGUGACGAUGAUGACGGUAACGGGGGAAUAAGCUCCGGCUAACUUCGUGCCAGCAGCCGCGGUAAU